rnacentral:rRNA from 1 species
GGAGGACAGGUGGCUGCAUGGCUGUCGUCAGCUCGUGUCGUGAGAUGUUGGGUUAAGUCCCGCAACGAGCGCAACCCUUGCCUUUAGUUUGCCAGCAGUUCGGCUGGGCACUCUAAAGGGACUGCCGGUGUUAAACCGGAGGAAGGUGGGGGAUGACGUCAAGUCCUCAUGGCCUUUAUGACCAGGGCUACACACGUACUACAAUGGCCGAUACAAAGGGCAGCGACACUGCGAGGUGAAGCCAAUCCCGUAAAAUCGGUCUCAGUCCGGAUUGGAGUCUGCAACUCGACUCCAUGAAGUUGGAAUCGCUAGUAAUCGUGGAUCAGCAUGCCACGGUGAAUACGUUCCCGGGCCUU